UCGGUGGCUGUGCUGCACGCUGAGAGAAGGUGGCCCCCGUGGGCAGAGGAGAUCAAUGCACAGCCUGCGCGCUCAGCACCAAUAAUGGGAUUCUUCUGAUGGGAGGCUGGAAACAUCCUUGCAGGGGCUGUCUUUAGCACGCUGCCUACAGGUCUCAUUUUUUUUUCUUUUCUGAUUUUGUAUCUUCAGGUCACACGAUUUUUGGAUGGGCAGUCAACAGCUGCAAGUGGACACACACCCAUUACUUCUGGAGACUCGAGGCAUGAAAUAGCUAGGAGUGAUGGUGCAGGCCUGUCCGUCAGUCUAGCACUCAGAAAGCAGGCUGAGGACUGACAUCAUUCACAGAGAACGGAUACAGGACAGAUGGUGUGAUGAAUACAUCGAACUUUUCUCCUGUCCCCUACCCAGCCCAGCGCCCCUUGCUCUGACGGAUCUUGUUUUGAUUCAGAGGAAAGGGUGGCAGCUGACAGAGCUCACCUGAAGAUCCUGGUGCAGAAUGGGAGCAGAAAUAGACCGAGACCCAUCCCCAGUACCAAUAAAAGGAAACAAUAAUUUUGUUGUUCUCUGUGUGUGGCAUAGUCCGUCCUGGACACAGACCUCCUCCUUCCAAAGAUCUGGAGGGAUUUUCAGCUUCUCUUCCUGAAUUUGGUGGAGUAUGAGAGCUUUGUGGACCCCUUGAUUGGACUUCUCCCAGGAGCACACCUGCAUUCCUUCCUUGACCCUCGGGCCCCCUUCUCACAUGU